UUCUUGAGAAUUUUGCCGGUAAGAAAUUCGGCAAGAGACAAUUUGAAGCGACGAAUUAAAAGUCCGAUUCCCAAUGGGAAUGUCAACAGGAUUAAAGAAAUGGCCAUGUUAACAUAAGGCACUUGAACGGACGAGCCUUCCGCAAGACGACAAUUGAAAACGAAAAAUGUAAUUUUAAAACUGCAAUUCUGACUGACCCAUGGCGGCGAGGGAUGAAACAAACGUCAUGGUGAUGCUGAGAUUGACGUCACCAUCUAGAAGCAAUGUCCAGAAAUUAGAGGCUAUACCACCUGGGCAAACUCCAAUCACCAGCAGUCCGAAACCCAUGAGAGAGUCCGGUAUUAGCAGCCUUGCAACACCAAAUGAAACCUUCAAAGAAGCAAGAAUGACUGACCUGUCAAAGGAAGAAUGAAGUUGUUUUACGAAAUACGCUCAACUCACCAGCGGCAUAAAGAUUAAAAGGAAUUGGCCAACUCACCUGCACGACACCUAUAGCCUCCAGUUUCUUCUACGUAACUGCUGCAUGCAAACUUGAACAAUGAACACCGAUGCCCCUCAGCUCUUCUGGAUUCAACACUUUGCUUACGGCGUCGAGCUGUUCUUACAUACACAAUGUGAAAGUUGCACUGGUGGUGGCAACAAACAGCUUUGCUUCAAAUGAACUAGCGAUGUGAAUGCAACAACAACUCUGGAUUUGAAACAAGUCCAAUGGGUAAUCGACAACCCUGAUGGAUUCAGGCGGAAACUUAAAACUGACAUGUAUAAGACGCGG